rnacentral:rRNA from 1 species
GACGAACGCUGGCGGCGUGCUUAACACAUGCCAGUCGGACGGAAAGGCCCUGCUUUUGUGGGGUGCUCGAGUGGCGAACGGGUGAGUAACACGUGAGUAACCUGCCCUUGACUUUGGGAUAACUUCAGGAAACUGUGGCUAAUACCGGAUAGGAGCUCCUGCUGCAUGGUGGGUGUUGGAAAGUUUCGGCGGUUGGGGAUGGACUCGCGGCUUAUCAGCUUGUUGGUGUGGUAGUGGCUUACCAAGGCUUUGACGGGUAGCCGGCCUGAGAGGGUGACCGGCCACAUUGGGACUGAGAUACGGCCCAAACUCGUACGGGAGACAGCAGUUAGGAAUAAUGCACAAGGGGCGGAAGCCUGAAGCAGCAACGCCGAGUGCGGGGUGACGGACUUCGGGUUGUAAACCGCUUUCGCCUGUGACGAAGCGUGAGUGACGGUAAUGGGUAAAGAAGCACAGACUAACUACGUG